AUUGAACGCUGGCGGCAGGCCUAACACAUGCAAGUCGAGCGGAUGACGGGAGCUUGCUCCUUGAUUCAGCGGCGGACGGGUGAGUAAUGCCUAGGAAUCUGCCUGGUAGUGGGGGACAACGUCUCGAAAGGAACGCUAAUACCGCAUACGUCCUACGGGAGAAAGCAGGGGACCUUCGGGCCUUGCGCUAUCAGAUGAGCCUAGGUCGGAUGAGCUAGUUGGUGAGGUAAUGGCUCACCAAGGCGACGAUCCGUACCUGGGCUGAGAGGAUGAUCAGUCACAGUGGAACUGAGACACGGGCCAGACUCCUACGGGAGGGAGCAGUGGGGAAUAUUGGACAAUGGGCGAAAGCCUGAUCCAGCCAUGCCGCGUGUGUGAAGAAGGUCUUCGGAUUGUAAAGAACUUUAAGUUGGGAGGAAGGGCAGUAAGUUAAUACCUGGCUGCUUUGAAGUUACCGACAGAAUAAGCACCGGCUAACUCUGUGCCAGCAGCCGCCGUAA
rnacentral:rRNA from 1 species